rnacentral:tRNA from 1 species
CCCGGUAAUGUAAAGGUAGCAUAUCAAGCUCAUAAUUUGAUAGUAAAGGUUCAAUUCCUUUCCGGGCC